rnacentral:rRNA from 1 species
GUGCCAGCAGCCGCGGUAAUACGUAGGUGGCAAGCGUUGUCCGGAAUUAUUGGGCGUAAAGCGCGCGCAGGGCGGUCUUUUAAGUCUGAUGUGAAAGCCCACGGCUCAACCGUGGAAGGUCAUUGGAAACUGGGAGACUUGAGUACAGAAGAGGAAAGCGGAAUUCCACGUGUAGCGGUGAAAUGCGUAGAGAUGUGGAGGAACACCAGUGGCGAAGGCGGCUUUCUGGUCUGUAACUGACGCUGAGGCGCGAAAGCGUGGGGAGCAAACAGGAUUAGAUACCCUGGUAGUCC